CCGCUGUGAUGUAAGAAAUCUACUUAAAUGCACCAAUCACAGGAGAAGGGAGUAAGCAGUUAGGCAAAAAACCAAAAGAAGAGUGAGAGAGUGAAGCUGCCUCGAAAGAAGCAGUCACCGGCCACCCAGGGACACAACCAGCCAGAAGUAACACGCAGGAGGUGAGCCAGGGAAGUCGAUACUGGGGC